CUAUAGCUCAGUUGGUUAGAGCGCACGCUUGAUAAGUGUGAGGUCAACGGUUCAAAUCCGUUUAGG
rnacentral:tRNA from 1 species